GGGCGCGGGGGGAAUGUAACGUGGCCAGUCCACUGACCUGCUUCAUCUAAUAAUUUCUCCUAGAUAAUGGGAUGAAUUAUUACUGUUGCUUUGAUCUUGAAUAGUUUAAAUGGAAAAGAAAAAAAAAGGAGGUGUAGGUAAUGUGGCGAGUGACUAUUGGAUUGGUUCACUUGGUCUAUUUAAUAAUUUCUCCUCUAUUUAUAAAAACUCCCACCAAGGCUCCAAUGGUUAGUCUCUAUGGAAGUCCAUUAAGGCUCCAAUAAAUGCUAAGGGCUAUGUCUGCAUAUGGUUAUUGUGGGUUGUUCUUAGCUGGCUCAGGCAGUAAAGGCUCUUCGAGGCUAGCCUAAUAACGCCCAAUAACUCUUAUAGUUUGCUUCAAAUAAACCUUUGUUAAAUUAUGCAAAUAACACCCAAUAGCUCCCAUGGUUAGGCUUGAAGUAAAAAUUUGCAAACAAUAGGUUGUUUACAUGGCCCAAUAACUCUUAUGGUUAGGCGUGAAAUAAGAACUUGCAACAAAUAACAU
rnacentral:lncRNA from 1 species